rnacentral:rRNA from 1 species
UAGGGAAUCUUCGGCAAUGGACGGAAGUCUGACCGAGCAACGCCGCGUGAGUGAAGAAGGUUUUCGGAUCGUAAAGCUCUGUUGUUAUUUAAGAACGUUGGUAGGAGUGGAAAAUCUACCAAGUGUCGGUAACUAACCAGAAAUGCACGGCUAACUCCGUGCCAGCAGCCGCGGUAAUACGUAGGUCCCGAGCGUUGUCCGGAUUUAUUUGUCGUAAAGCGAGCGCAGGCGGUUCUUUAAGUCUGAAGUUAAAGGCAGUGGCUUAACCAUUGUACGCUUUGGAAACUGGAGGACUUGAGUGCAGAAGGGGAGAGUGGAAUUCCAUGUGUAGCGGUGAAAUGCGUAGAUAUAUGGAGGAACACAGGUGGCGAAAGCGGCUCUCUGGUCUGUAACUGACGCUGAGGCUCGAAAGCGUGGGGAGCAAACAGG